rnacentral:lncRNA from 1 species
ACGGUGUUUUUUUCUCUAAUUGGAUCCAUAAGAAUGCCCUUACUUCUGAGAUGAGACAGACUUUUGCCAAGACUAGUAUCUGCAGAGAGGAGUUAACCUCAUUUAUACCUUACCAAGUCAUGUUUUUAAUCCAGCCAAAGGAUUUUAUCACUAUGUUACUUGGAUGAUUGAUAUGGAGUAGAAGCCACACAAAUAACCUGAGGUCACACACUCUCGCCCCCUACCUCUGCUUUCCUUAAUGAUGUGGAGCAGCUCUCUAGCCCUCUGUCAAACAUUUUGCCUGAAUUCUCAGUGGCAACACAAGAGCUGAAUGGUUCAGCUGCAAGGAUUAAAGAGGAAGGGAAGAAAAGAAAAAGCCCUGAAACGUCUCACAGGAUGGGGAAUGAGUUUUCUACUCACUUGUGGAAGCCAACUCCUCCAGGCAGAGCUGCUCUCACAACAGCCCAGCCCUGGUGAAGGUUUCUUACAUCAACAGAUGGAGAGAAAACGCUCCUGUCUCAAAUACACACUGGCCAUGGAGGGUAUAAUGAAAGAUCGAGGCAGAUUAGGCCAAAGCUUUAUGAAGGACAACACAUGGGCUUUGAUAAAAACUUUUGACUGCUGGAAGUGCAUGAGCUGGAAACACACGUAA